GCUAAUGGGGAAAGGGGGGGGGGCAGGGAAGGAGGGAGAGAGGGAGAGAAAUGUCACCCGUAGCCCGGGCCCGCGGGGGAGAGGUGGCGCGUUAGAGAUGUGUGUGGGAGAGCGAGAGAGGGAGAGAAAUGUCACCCGUAGCCCGGGCCCGCGGGGGAGAGGUGGCGCGUUAGAGAUGUGUGUGGGAGAGCGAGAGAGGGAGAGAAAGAUAGAGAGAGAGGGGGAGCGAGACCUCCGCCGGCCCCGCGAACUUGUCAAGUAGAAAACACGAAGCCUUUAGUCUCAAAGAACUUAGACCAUCAUGGCUACGAAAACUACUGCUACUCAGAAAGUAUGUAAUUCUGGAGCUCCUUAGUGACGAAAGUGGUGCAAGGCAACAUCAGAGCAGUUGCCAAGUGAUCUUCUCCACAGCAUCCAUGAACUUCAGCCUGGAACUGAAGAGGACUCAUCAAAUGCCUUAGGAAAGACAGCAUGGAGUUGGAAGAGAAGCAGGGAUCUCCACAAAGGGCAGUCAGUUAUACUCUUGGUGUGUGGAGGAACAGGUCCUGUUCUCGCUGUUGUUACUCCCACAUAGGCAGACUGUAAUUGAUUAUGUGUGGGUAGGGCCCAAUUGAAAUUCAGGAGAUUCUACAGUAGUGCGGGGUUCUUUUCGUGAAAGUUCAGUUGCAAGAUCAGGACCCCACUGUGACUCCUAACUGUGAAUUCUGUCAGUGUAUCAUUGAUUGUGCUGGAACCUGCCUUUUGGGAUAAUUACCAAAUACUAUAUUCCUCAAAACUUCUUAAUGGCACUGAGGCUUUGUGGAUAGUUGGUCACAUGAGAAAAUUCAGCUGUAAAGGAGAAUCCAUAGGAGAACAAGAGUGAAAACAUUCUUGGAAAGCAAGAUUUAUAAGGCAUGUUUCAAAAGAGUUGUAUUUGUUUAGUCAAGAGCAAGCUGGGGAAAAUAAUAUGACAUCUGAAGAUCAUUGUGAAGAAGAUGGUCACCAAUUGUCUUUUGUAUCCAGUUGUGGAAGAACAAGAAAAAAUUAUCUUAAUUUGCAGUCAAAAAUAACAGGCUACAUAUUUGGAAAAUCCUUCUGAGUACAAGGACAGUUAAAAACUGGAACCAACCUAUCUGUCGAUGAUGCAGCAUCUUCCUCAGUGGCAAUUUAGAAUGGAUUAGACAAAAAGUUUCUGUCAUCAAAAUGCUCUUACACCUAUCUUCUUUUAUAACUGUUGGCUCCACUCAAUAAAUAAUUUGGAAUAUUAAGAAGUAAUUUGAAAAAUAAGUUUGGAAAGUGGAGAUGAAAUCAGAUAGUCCGAACGCAUGAUAAAUCAUCAUAAAUCAGUUCAUCAAUAAGGAUAAAGCAUGUUACCUGUUCAUACAAGCAGUGCUAUUGUUCUGCUUACACUGCUUGGUUCUCUGGUCAGGAAGCUGGUUUCAGCAUGAUCAAUACCCUUUUUUCUUGGCUUCUAAUUCUAUCUAGCACACACUCCUCAGCCCAGUUUUCCACCCAAGUUGGCCAAAGCACAGAGAGUUAUUUUAAUUGCCCAGUUUUUACAAAGAACAUUAAUAACUCAUCUGGUAUGCUUUUGGAUGCUUCUUUGAGUGGUUGUGUAGAUGGAUUUCAUUGGUGGUGUGCAUGUGCCCCUGGAGUGCAAGGACAAAUUAUUUGGAUAAGCAGAGUCCAUUAAAUGGUAUCAGCCGACUACUACUUGAAGCACCUUCAUGUCCACUGUCCUCAGGGCAUUAAAUAGCCACGUCUACUUUACCUGUAGUGCUGACCUAUCGUGAUAGUUGUUUUUAUGACUUGCAUCAAGUGUGAAGCAUUCAAAGCCAUGUGUCAAAGGUUGUGUUUUCCUUCUCAAAAGAUCACAAUCUGCUCAUUCUUUCCAUGGCUCAUGAAGGUGACAAGAUGGGACAACUGAAGGAACACAUUUGUGAAGUUACCUGCUCAAAGCCGUAACAAUGCCAAUGAUAAAUCCAGGAACAGAAGUUAAGUCUCCCAAGUUGCGGCCUAACACCAUCAACAAACCAAUGUAAUCAACAAGAAAGUUUGCCUUUUGAUGUUAUUGCAAUACCUAUAUAUUAUAUAUAGGUUAUGCCAUAGCAAUACCUAUAUAUUAAUAAUUUACCCAAGAUGAACACAUUUGAGUGUGUAUAUUUGCUUAUGUUCUUGUAAAUAAUUCAAAAGAUUUCUUUGAAUUCUAAUUCUGAAUUUAAUAUCUAAUAUAUAUAUAUAGAUAUAUGUAUAAAAUAACUGGGCAUUUUUUCCACAACAAUUUCUUCAGAAGUCAUGCUUAAAACAUACAGUUUAGAGUCCAACUUUAGGGUCUUCUUCAGGAUUCGGAGCAUCUUACACUUCAGCUUACCUUUAUAGAAGACAGUAGAUGCUUUGCAGCUCAGAAAAAGGAAAUACAGUUGUAUAUAGUUCUUAGCAUUGGAAAUCACUUUUAGAAAUAUUUCUGUGCGUUGGAAGCACCAAAAGCUUGGGUCUGACUCUGGUUUAGCUGUAGGGGAGGCUAUGGCAGUGGACCCAGGCAGCAGAGGAGCUGUGAUUAUGGAAGCCCAUUAGAGAGCCUAAUGCUGCCUGAUGUAUUGAGCAGUAUCGGACAGUUUUGGCAAAGGUACAGCUUGCUUUCUGUCUCUUGUGGCUGUGUCCUCCUAUACUGAGUCAGGAACAUGUGCACAAUACUUCUUUGUGAGAUGCUAAUCUUUUGGGAUGUUAAGCACCAAUAGUUGCAUUAGCAGCUGGUUUUACUUGCAGUCGAGGGUUUGAAGCAGCACAACAGCUUUUUGCAUAGGAUAGGGAGUGUUUCCUUCUAGCUUUCACUUCAAUCUGACAUUUUAGUUCUGUGGCUUCCCAAAAUAGGGCUAGUGUCCAACACUGAAAAACCAUGGAAGCAUUGUCUUAGUAGUAAGUAGCUUUGUGGUUUAUUAAGAGCAAAUAUUAAAUCAGAUUGGAAAAAAUAUAUUACUACUACAACAUACUCCUUAUAGGACCUUUACAGUUUUCACAUCUUUAUUUUCAAUAGUUGGCCUGGACACAGGUGAUGAGCAUGCUCAGAUAAUAUGUCAGGUUAGCUGCAAUCAAACCCAUAAAGUGUCUGCAAUUCAUCCAUGCUUCUCCCACCAGCAGGUGUCAUUCUGGAAAAAGGAAAAUAUUGUAAAUUCCUGAACUGGAGAAUUUGGCUGUGACAAAGAAGAAAAAAAGUUUACUUAAAAUAUGACUUUUGAAGGAUACUUUAUUCCAAAUUAAAACCCAAAGAAAGCUGGCUCGUCUGCAUUUUUUAAUAAUCUAUGUGCAGUGAGUUAUCCUGACCUAUAAGUAACAAAGGGCAGACAAUUGGUAAGGCAAACCAAUGUCUGCUUAAAGCUAUCUUCUGCUUUUUAUUGUUCUCUGUGGCAUGUUUAACACUGCUUACUUACCCCCCAUGACUAUAAAAUCAGUGAUACUCAUCAAUCUUCCCAAAGGAAACAAAGAAUUAGAUGUUGAAUUCAGAUCUCAUUUACUUCAAUGUAAACUUGAAGUAAUCUCAUUGAAGCAACUGAAAUCAAUAGAAAUGUUUGGAAUUCAGUAUGAAGUAACCAAAAGUAGUAUUUAACUUUCUACUCCAUAAAUGAGCCUCAAGCAGAAAAUAAUCUCAUAGUAAUUUUAAUGUCUCAUAACAUUUAUGCCUUCCUUUAAGUGUUCAUCUGGGUAUUAGCUGCAACAUCCUUUAAUAUGUAGAGACUCUUUGAUUUCUCUUAAUCACAGUAAGAGAGCUAUGGCUAAGUUGUAAAGAACCAAGACCCUGCUGGUUCAUUGUGAGGGUUCCUGGUAUACGAAGUCUAGUCUUCUGGCUGUUAAAAACAAACUUACUGUGAAAAUCAUGCAGGAGGUGCCUUGCCCACCCUAUAGGCUAUAGAAGUUUGUUCCGACCCAUCAUAGCUCUCAUGAUUAUAAAUAUUUUUCUGUCUUUCUGUCUUUUAAAUUUACCCAGACCCCUUGUAUCUAUAUUGUCUUUUUGCAUUAGUUUUUUCUCCUACCAUUUACAUCAGCAUGUAGCUGAGAGGUUUGGGCCCAAGCACCCUAGACUGAACAAAUACGGUUUGCAUAGUUUUCUUCCAGAAGCUCACUUUCCAUCCCCUGGCAUUACUUUAAGUUAAAUUUAUCUACUUUAAACAGGCAAGCAGAAUUGUGCAUCCUUCGUUCUUGCCCUGUAUACAGCAUUAAUGCAACAGCUUCCAUACCCUACUAGAAAUACUUCACCUGAUAGGUCUUAGCCCUGUAUCUGAUUUCUUUCUGGUAAAUUCAUCACCAUCAUCUUCCAUUUGACUAGUUCAGCCAGGCUUAUCUUCUCCUUAGCCAUUUCUAGAAGUGUUACUAUAAAGGAUGGUUUGCUACUAUGUUGUGAUGCUCCACCAAAACUCGUCUUGGAAUUAAAGGGAAAUUUGCUUGAGGAAAAGUAUGAGAACAAGCUCCAAGGCUUGGCUGCAAGGAGCACAUUGAAGUGGGAAUCAAUUUUACAUUUAUAAAAUUUGUAUUUGCAACAAAGUAAUGUAAAAUAAUUGUACUGCAGGCAGCCAUGUCUUUUCCAAUAUAUUAUAUAACUAUGAAUGUCACAAUGUUUUUCCUGUGAACAGUAUCAAGCACUUAGUUGCUGAAUGGGAAAAAAUAGUACAUAAACUUAGAAUUAAAAACUUGACUCUAAAAUAGCUAAAAGCUGUAUUCUUGGAUUUGCAUGAAGCCUGUAUUACUGUUUUCUGACUUUUUGAGUUUUUAACUUUGAAAUGUAGUGGUAUUCUAAAAUUUCAAGUCAGAAAGUAUAAAAGUAUUGUGAAUGUGACUAGUUCAUUAUGAACUUUAUAGGAUCAAGAUAACAAGCAGUGAUGAUAUCCAGCAGGUUUUUAUACAGUAAAGGAUGAGAUUUAUACAACAAUUUCUUUAUAGUUUUUACUAAUUUUUUCCAUGUUUUUAGCUAAGUGAAAUAAUGUAAAAUUCUAUUUAGUCUAUUUGGUUUUUAAUUUUAGUGUUUUAUUUUACUAAUUUUAGAAAAAAUGUGCAUGCCUAAACAUAGACCUCCUGUGCCAUUUUAGAGCCCCUGGGGAUCCCACUUGGUCUCUCACUGCCAGUUUAAAGGUGUGGUCUUUUGUCAAAGGUCAAAAGCCUCCCGUAGGUCCCACAUCAUGCCAGCUCCGCACAGAUAUCCUGGAUGCUCCAGGGUAUUCCAGCAGGCAUUAGGCACCUUCUUUUAGGCACUUGAAUUUCUCCUUUAGAAAACUGCUGUAAAAGUUAAUGUGCCUCUACAAAUGCUUAACAAAAUUAAAGAUACUACAUCUGUGAAGGUAAUUCCAUCUGAGGUGUUUGAUUUCAAUUUAACAGGACAUAGAGGCGGGAAAGUAAUUUCAUAUCUAACAAGUACAGAGUUACUGUGUUCAACAGGAUGCUGUCAAGAGUCUAUUUUGAAUUACGGUGGCUGAGCUGAAUCUGUGUGUGAAUUGGGAGUUGCUAUUGUUGAGACUAUGCACCAUGAAAGGUCCUGGGGCUUCUCAUCAGGACCAUAGGGGUUUGAUAUUCAAAACUGCUGGGAGUCUGGCAAAAGGAAGCUUGAUUCUUCAGUUUGGGGCAUGAUGCAGGAAACUAAUUGUGCUGAAGAAAGCAGUGAUUUCAGGUACCAGGGCACUUGGAUAGAAGGAAUAAAAGAAAUACUUGCAUUAAAAAGAAAUACUUACAUUGAUUACACACACAAUUAGAAACUUAUGUUAAUCAGGUCCAAUUUAUAAUGGUCAGAGGGAAGUUAAAAACCUUGAAUAUAUUAGUUAGUAUAGUUGUAUAUGAAUUGUACGACAUGGAGUUGAGCAUUUCUGAAUUGUUAUUUUAUAACAAGAGCAAUUCAUUGUAUAUAAUAUAUACAAAUUACAUAUUGUAUAUGUAUGAAAUAUAUAACUCAUCUUAAAAUAAAAUUAAAGCUAUUGGAAGGUAGCAAAUUCUGCAUAAAAUUCACCACAGGCAUUAAUUAGGAUUGUAUAGGCAGAGAACACUUUCCUAUGGGCUUUUUAAAAUCACUUACUAGUAUUAUGAUUGAAAGGAAUUUGGAUUAUUUUUACCGAAGUUAAAAAAAUGAAAUAGUUACAGAAAAGGUCAUGAUGGAGGGUGACUUAGAAAGCAAUCGUAAAAUCUGAUUUAGUAAUGUACAGUAUUAAUUGUAUGAUUUGUGAGUGAAGUAGAACUGUUUUCAUGUC